rnacentral:rRNA from 1 species
GACGAACGCUGGCGGCGUGCCUAAUACAUGCAAGUAGAACGCUUAAGAGAGGAGCUUGCUCUUCUUGGAUGAGUUGCGAACGGGUGAGUAACGCGUAGGUAACCUGCCUUGUAGCGGGGGAUAACUAUUGGAAACGAUAGCUAAUACCGCAUAACAAUGGAUGACACAUGUCAUUUAUUUGAAAGGGGCAAUUGCUCCACUACAAGAUGGACCUGCGUUGUAUUAGCUAGUAGGUGAGGUAAUGGCUCACCUAGGCGACGAUACAUAGCCGACCUGAGAGGGUGAUAGGCCACACAGGGACUGAGACACGGCCCAGACUACUACGGGAGGCAGCAGUAGGGAAUCUUAGGCAAUGGGGGCAAACCUGACCGAGCAACGCCGCGUGAGGGAAGAAGGUUUUCGGAUCGUAAAGCUCUGUUGUAAGUCAAGAACGGGUGUGAGAGUGGAAAGUUCACACUGUGACGGUAGCUUACCAGAAAGGGACGGCUAACUACGUG